rnacentral:rRNA from 1 species
AUGGUGGCAUGCCACUCCAAACCACUCUGCUUUCCAAUGACGCCGACAACCACAACAGGGGUGGAUCCAGCCGCGAAGAGGCAGAGCGGCGGUCAACAGCGGUGGCCUGCUCCCAAUUUGCAGGGUCAUUGUGGUGCAUGUUGGGCCUUUGGUGUUGUGGAGUUCCUGCAAGAUCGUUUCUGCAUUCCUCACAGCAUGGUGAGCGCAUAUGGACGAUCUGUCUACUCUUUGGUCUACUUUAAACAGGACCGUUAG